UCUGGGACACAAAUAUUUUGAGGAUCAUUCAUCAGGUGCUCCCCAGAUGCUGGAGAACCAGCAAGGCAGGGGUCCCAGGAUGGCUCUCUUGCCAGGCACACCAAGGGCAUCACCCACACUCACCUAAGGGUGACCUUGGGUUCCACAGAGCUAUAUCAAGAGUCCCUGCCUAGUCCUUGACGUGUGGCAGAGAGCCAAAUUGUCCUGAAUAGAUUCAAGUCAUGGGAUGAUCCCCUCUGAGCCUCUUCCUGGGCCUGCAGUGGCCCCGGACAAAGGAGGGGCUCACGGCAAGGGCCCUGUCCCUUGUGGUCUCAUCAGGAUGAUGGACAGGGCCAGGGAUGCUUCACAAACGAGAUAGUUUGGAUGUAAAAUCUAAAUGGUGAGCAGGACCCAGAAGCGUGAUUUCUCAGAGGGGAACCAGGGCUGAGUUACAGCUCAGUCUCCAUCAAGCAGGAUCCCAGGCCUGCAGCCACUGACCCAGGCUGGGCAGGUGUCUGGGGAAAGGUGUCUUAUCAGCCGGGCUGGGCAAGAGGUAGCAAGGAGCACUGAAGCAGCAGCACCCAGGUAUGUGGAAGAACCCCUCCCAUUGGCUUGGGAGUGGCUUGUGACCUCCUCUGCCUCCCAGAAGAGGCAGAUGGGUCCAGACACACCUCCAGUGCUGUGUCUCCAGAGUGACAGGCAGCCAGGCCUUCCAGAGCAUAUGACCCUGGCCAAACUACAUAACCUCUCCACAAGCAAUCUAGUAUUUCCUUCACCCAGAGUUUCCAUUGCAGGUCCUCAGUGGUUGCCUGGAACCUUCUAUGGCCUGCAGGAAGAGGGGGCAUUGUGGACACACCACUGCUGAAGUUACCUCACACGCGGAGCAGAGUGGGUGGCCCCAGCAGGAGUGGGGCGGGGCCAGGGCCCCUGGAGGGACUGAGGACAGAGCCAGCAUCCUAUUGUCCCAUGUAACCUCCAAGGCCCCAGCUUCUCCUGACACGUCUUACUGGCACAAUUGUGUGUUUCUGUGGGACACUUGGUGUGUUUAUGUUAUGUGUAAAUAUGUAUGUGAGUGUAUGUGUAUGCAUGGGGUAUAUGUGAAUGUGUGCGUGCUGAGUAUAUGUGUAUUAUGUGAUGUAUAUGCUGUGAAUAUUGGGUGUAUGUGGUGGUGUAUGUGUGGGUGUAGGUAUAUGAAUGUAUGUGGUAUAUGUGUGUAUGUAUGUGUGUGGGUAUAUGUAUGUAUGUGUAUGUGUGUGUUUGUGACUGGACGUGGGAGUAGAUGUGUGUGUGUGUAUGUGUGUGUGUGUAUGUGAAUGGAUUUGUGUAUAUAUACAUGGGAGUAGAUGUGUGUGGGCAUGUGUAUGGAUGGGGUUGGGGCUGGAUAUCUCUGCACAUGUAUAAUAGUUUCUGAGAGCACAAGAGCAGAGCUCUCCCUACUGCCCCUCAGGACAGGUCCAGAGCCAGGCCUGUGGUGUUCAGUGAGGUGCUGUGGCUGCCAGGGCCAUGUGGAUGUUUGUUUGAUUUCCCCUGACUUCCAAACUAGUGGAAAUUACACACCAAGCAUCGAUUUAAUUAAGUUUUCCGGUGUGUGGCAUAAUUAGUAAGACACACCACGGAACAGGGUGGGCGGGCCCACCGCCCACCCUCCCCUGUCUGUCAGGAGGCUAGGCCUUCGGGCUACAAAACACAGCAGCUGGAGGGUUAGGACACAGAACCUCCAUGGCUGUGUGGCCUUCCUGUCUAUUCGAGGAGAGCUGCAGGUGGCCUGGCCUCCCUCACAGAUGGCCCUAGACUGAAAAAUGAAGUCCCAUGAAUCCAGGGAGCCCCUUCCCUUCCUUCCUAGAGCUGGGACUGAGCACUGGAAGGGUCUGGCUUUCUACCCCACCACUGUGGAGCCUUAGGCCAUUUGACCAAGGGGCUGUUUAGCCACCAGCCACCCUCAGGUCACAGACUGGUGGCUGCACGCACACACAGACAUGAGGCCCUGAGAGGAGAGAGGCCAGCACCUCCGUGUGCCCGAUAGCCUGAGACCCACCCUGCCCCCCAGCAGUGGGUGCCCCAUCCUCUGAGAGAGGCUAGCACCACAGGCCCACGAGGAGACAUCUCCUCAUCUCCUCUCCUGGGGCCCACUCCAACUCACGCCAGACCUGGAGGUGGGAGCACAACUGGAAAACAGCCUUCCCAUGGGGACGCCGAGUCCAGUGUGAGCGGAGACAGGUCUGAUCUGAAGUGCUCCCGCCUCAGCUCCACACUCUGCAUCUCUCCCUCUUCCGCACUUUCUGUGUGUCCUCUGCAGUCGUCAGGGCCAGGCCCGGGGCUGUCCAUCCUCCUCUCCCUGGACUCCAGUCCCCCAAGGCGUGCUCUUCCCUGAGCUCCCUCUUCCUCCAGGCCUGCCAUCAAAAGCUGCCCACCUGAGGCCCUAGCCAGAGCCCCACAUGGAAAAUGCCACCCGCUCCUGCCCUUGCCACCCUCCUUGGACCCGAGUUGGAACCGGCCACCCCGCCAGCUGACUCAGAGCUCCAAGAGAAGACCCAGAGUGUGCUCUCUGUGUGUCCCCGCAUGACUGAAAGCCUUGGGAACCUCGAAGCCACGACUUCAGUGUCACCGCCACAUACAUCUGCCUGCAGCUGCAAGGUUGGAUGUGCCCCCGUGCAGGAGUCUUGUAGCCGGGGACCUGGGGUGAAUCUAGAAGCCCAAAGCCUGUGAGCCCUCACCUGUCUGCUGGUGAGCACUAGUGCCCUGUGAACUUUGACCCCUCGAUCUGCAGAGAGAGGAGAAAGCGAGGAGCUGUUUGGCCCACGCUGACCCCAGCACUAGUGGGUCAGUCGACGACCUCGGCUGUGCGGGGUGGGGGCUCCCAGGCAAGGAGCCAGCGAUGGGGAAAUGGACUCCGCUUCCUCUCCAGGGCUGGGCUGGCCCCAAUUCCGGUGACUGGCUGGAAAACACAUGAGGAUAUGCGGCCAUCACUCUGUACAGACACAUCACAGAGUUGCAGUCCUCGGGGGACUAGAAAGCCCUUGACACUUGUCUCUGUCCCCCAAGCCCUUUUCCUUUCCAAGGCAGAAUAUGGCCUGCUGAAAUUCUGUACACUAAUAAAAUUGUAACUAAUUUA